rnacentral:rRNA from 1 species
CAGUCGCCACGGGAAUACAGAGGGUGCGAGCGUUAAUCGGAAUUACUGGGCGUAAAGCGUGCGUAGGUGGUUUGUUAAGUUGGAUGUGAAAUCCCCGAGCUUAACCUAGGAAUUGCAUCCAAAACUGGGAAGCUAGAGUAUGGUAGAGGAUGGUAGAAUUUCCGGUGUAGCGGUGAAAUGCGUAGAUAUCUGGAGGAAUACCAGUGGCGAAGGCGACCACCUGGACUGAUACUGACGCUGAGGUACGAAAGCGUGGGGAGCAAACAGGAUUAGAUACCCCGGUAGUCCCUGUCUCUUAUAC